GACCCCAUGGAGCUUUACUGUAGCUUGAUAUUGAACUUUGGUCGUACCUGUACAGGAUAGGUGGGAGACAUAGAGACGUGCACGCCAGUGUAUGAGGAGUCGCCGUUGGGAUACCACUCUUGUGCGAUCGGAGUUCUAACCCAGGUCCAUGAAACUGGAUCGGGGACCGUGUCAGGCAGGCAGUUUGACUGGGGCGGUCGCC
rnacentral:rRNA from 17 species